AGUGAACGCUGGCGGUAGGCCUAACACAUGCAAGUCGAACGGCAGCACAGUAAGAGCUUGCUCUUACGGGUGGCGAGUGGCGGACGGGUGGGGAAUACAUCGGAAUCUACUUUUUCGUGGGGGAUAACGUAGGGAAACUUACGCUAAUACCGCAUACGACCUACGGGUGAAAGCAGGGGAUCUUCGGACCUUGCGCGAUUGAAUGAGCCGAUGUCGGAUUAGCUAGUUGGCGGGGUAAAGGCCCACCAAGGCGACGAUCCGUAGCUGGUCUGGGAGGAUGAUCAGCCACACUGGAACUGAGACACGGUCCAGACUCCUACGGGAGGCAGCAGUGGGGAAUAUUGGACAAUGGGCGCAAGCCUGAUCCAGCCAUACCGCGUGGGUGAAGAAGGCCUUCGGGUUGUAUAGCCCUUUUGUUGGGAAAGAAAAGCAGCAGGUUAAUACCCCGCUGUUCUGACGGUACCCAAAGAAUAAGCACCGGCUAACUUCGUG
rnacentral:rRNA from 1 species